UACGUAGGGUGCAAGCGUUGUCCGGAAUUAUUGGGCGUAAAGAGCUCGUAGGCGGUUUGUUGCGUCGGCUGUGAAAUCCCGAGGCUCAACCUCGGGUCUGCAGUCGAUACGAGCAAACUAGAGUGUUGCAGGGGAGACUGGAAUUCCUGGUGUAGCGGUGAAAUGCGCAGAUAUCAGGAGGAACACCAACGGCGAAGGCAGCUCGCUGGGACGGUACUGACACUGAGGCGCGGAAAAGCGU
rnacentral:rRNA from 1 species